GACGAACGCUGGCGGCGUGCUUAACACAUGCAAGUCGAACGGAAAGGCCCUGCUUUUGUGGGGUGCUCGAGUGGCGAACGGGUGAGUAACACGUGAGUAACCUGCCCUUGACUUUGGGAUAACUUCAGGAAACUGGGGCUAAUACCGGAUAGGAGCUCCUGCUGCAUGGUGGGGGUUGGAAAGUUUCGGCGGUUGGGGAUGGACUCGCGGGUUAUCAGCUGGUUGGUGGGGUAGUGGUUUACCAAGGCUUUGACGGGUAGCCGGCCUGAGAGGGUGAACGGCGACAUUGGUACUGCGAGACGCCCCAGUAUCGUACCGUAGGCAGUAGGCGGGAGUUUGACAGAACGGCGGGAAGCCUGAUGCAGCAACCCCCCGUGCGGGAUAAUCGGCUACGGGUUGUAAACCGCUUUCGCCUUUACCGUAGCCUGAGUGACGGUACUGGGUAAAAAAGCACCGGCUAACUACGUG
rnacentral:rRNA from 1 species